AAAGUCGUAACAAGGUUUCCGUAGGUGAACCUGCGGAAGGAUCAUUACAAAACAAAACUGGUAGUAAGUGGGGUCUUGAUCUGUAAGUGGUAGAGCGAACAGUCCGGCUGCCUCCCGAAAACGUCUUAACAUGUCCCCCACAGCCUGAAAGGCCGAAUUACAAACCCUUGAUUAUCUAACACUUGUUGCUUUGGGGUGCUCAAAGUGCCCCAGAGGACCCAAACUCUCUUGCAAUUUAGUGACGUCUGAGUACUAUAAUAAUAUUUAAAAAA
rnacentral:misc_RNA from 1 species